rnacentral:rRNA from 1 species
AACGAACGCUGGCGGCGUGGUUCAGACAUGCAAGUCGAACGAUCACUAUUGGGUAGCAAUAUUCGGUAGUGGGAGUGGCGCAAGGGUGCGUAACACGUGGGUAAUUUGCCAUGAAGUCUGGAAUAACUUGCUGAAAGGCGAGCUAAUACCGGAUGUGAUUACUGGAAGGCAUCUUCUGGUACUUAAAGUCGGGGACCGUAAGGCCUGACACUUCUUGAUAAGCCCGCGGCCUAUCAGCUAGUUGGUGAGGUAACGGCUCACCAAGGCUAAGACGGGUAGCUGGUCUGAGAGGACGACCAGCCACACUGGAACUGAGACACGGUCCAGACACCUACGGGUGGCAGCAGUCGAGAAUUUUUCUCAAUGGGGGAAACCCUGAAGGAGCGACGCCGCGUGGGGGAUGAAUGGCUUCGGCCCGUAAACCCCUGUCAUUUGCGAUCAAACCUUACGGCUUAACACGUCGUAAGCUGAUAGUAGCGGAAGAGGAAGGGACGGCUAACUCUGUGCCAGCAGCCGCGGUAAUACAGAGGUCCCAAGCGUUGUUCGGAUUCACUGGGCGUAAAGGGUGCGUAGGCGGUCGGGUAAGUCUGACGUGAAAUCUUCAAGCUCAACUUGGAAACUGCGUCGGAUACUAUUCGGCUAGAGGAAUGGAGGGGGAGACUGGAAUACUUGGUGUAGCAGUGAAAUGCGUAGAUAUCAAGUGGAACACCAGUGGCGAAGGCGAGUCUCUGGACAUUUCCUGACGCUGAGGCACGAAAGCCAGGGGAGCA